GACGAACGCUGGCGGCGUGCUUAACACAUGCAAGUCGAACGGUAAGGCCCUUCGGGGUACACGAGUGGCGAACGGGUGAGUAACACGUGGGUGAUCUGCCCUGCACUUCGGGAUAAGCCUGGGAAACUGGGUCUAAUACCGGAUAGGACCACUGCCUGCAUGGGUGGUGGUGGAAAGCUUUUGCGGUGUGGGAUGGGCCCGCGGCCUAUCAGCUUGUUGGUGGGGUGAUGGCCUACCAAGGCGACGACGGGUAGCCGGCCUGAGAGGGUGACCGGCCACAGUGGGACUGAGAUACGGCCCAGACCCCUACGGGAGGCAGCAGUGGGGAAUAUUGCACAAUGGGCGCAAGCCUGAUGCAGCGACGCCGCGUGAGGGAUGACGGCCUUCGGGUUGUAAACCUCUUGCAGCACCGACGAAGCGCAAGUGACGGUAGGUGCAGAAGAAGGACCGGCCAACUACGUGCCAGCCGCCGCAGUAA
rnacentral:rRNA from 1 species